rnacentral:lncRNA from 1 species
GAAAGAAAAGCUACAAUUUCUCGUUCUCUUAUGCGUGAAAGUGAAAAGUGAUAUGAAUAUGAGUUUCAUAGCUUGUCUUUGGAAAACUCGUUAUGGUAAGUAUUAAACAAAUGUCUUUAAGUUCUUAAUGUAUUUAAAUAAAGCAAGGGUUCCAUUAGUUGUUUUUCUAAUUUUUUUACCAAUCUUCAAUUUUUCUUAUCUGUGAUUAGUGUG